UACGUAGGGUGCAAGCGUUAAUCGGAAUUACUGGGCGUAAAGCGUGCGCAGGCGGUCUUGCAAGACAGAUGUGAAAUCCCCGGGCUCAACCUGGGAACUGCAUUUGUGACUGCAAGGCUGGAGUGCGGCAGAGGGGAUGGAAUUCCGCGUGUAGCAGUGAAAUGCGUAGAUAUGCGGAGGAACACCGAUGGCGAAGGCAAUCCCCUGGGCCUGCACUGACGCUCAUGCACGAAAGCGUGGGGAGCAAACAGG
rnacentral:rRNA from 1 species